rfam:Euryarchaeota archaeon RBG_16_68_12 RBG_16_scaffold_13349, whole genome shotgun sequence.
GCUCCCGUAGUCUAGACCGGUCAAGGAUAGGGGCCUUUCGAGCCCCGGACGCGGGUUCAAAUCCCGCCGGGAGCA